AACGAACGCUGGCGGCAUGCCUAACACAUGCAAGUCGAACGAAGCCUUCGGGCUUAGUGGCGCACGGGUGCGUAACGCGUGGGAAUCUGCCCUUGGGUUCGGAAUAACAGUUAGAAAUGACUGCUAAUACCGGAUGAUGUCUUCGGACCAAAGAUUUAUCGCCCAAGGAUGAGCCCGCGUAGGAUUAGGUAGUUGGUGGGGUAAUGGCCCACCAAGCCGACGAUCCUUAGCUGGUCCGAGAGGAUGAUCAGCCACACUGGGACUGAGACACGGCCCAGACUCCUAUGGGAGGCAGCAGUGGGGGAUAUUGGACAAUGGGCGAAAGCCUGAUCCAGCAAUGCCGCGUGAGUGAUGAAGGCCUUAGGGUUGUAAAGCUCUUUUACCAGGGAUGAUAAUGACAGUACCUGGAGAAUAAGCUCCGGCUAACUCCGUGCCAGCCGCCGCAGUAAAAC
rnacentral:rRNA from 1 species